rnacentral:misc_RNA from 1 species
CAAGUGUUUGUAUAGCUGAUAAAAUUUCCAUGGGGCUAUCGUCAUUCUGCAGCUUCUCAAUCUUCAUCCUGUUUCUAAUCCUCCAGUCAUCAGACUGCCAACAAGAAUAUAUCAGUACUCUGUCGCUCGACUGCAGUAAAAAUUCUUCUAUAUCAAAAGGGUAUGUUUGCAAUGGAAAUCAAAUUCCAUGCCAGUCCUUUUUAACCUUGCUCUCCCGCCCUCCCUAUGACUCCCCCAUCACCAUUUCUAAUCUUUUAGGUUCGGAAGCCUCGAGUAUAGCCUUGAUCAACAACGUAUCAUCCAUAUUCACAUUUCCCUCAGAGAAAUCGACCAUAGUUCCUGUUUCUUGUUCAUGUACUCAGGGCUUCUACCAGCAUAAUACUUCUUAUUUUAUUCAAGAUCAAAGCGAGACAUUUUUCACAGUAGCCAAUAAUACUUAUCAAGGCCUUACUACUUG